rnacentral:lncRNA from 1 species
GGGGGAUUUGGGAAUGGGGGCGGGGGUUUAUGAAUGGGGGCGGGGAAUGAGGGGGGAUUUGUCAAUGGGGGCGGGGAUUUGGGGGUGGGGGGGGUGUGAAUGGGGGGGCAAUGGGGGGGGAUUUGUGAAUGGGGGCAGAGAUUUGGGGAUGGGGGGGGAAUGGGAGGGGGGUGAAUGAGGGGGGAUUUGUGAAUGGGGGGGUGUGAAUGGGGGGGUGUGAAUGGGGGCAGGGAUUUGUGAAUGGAGGGGGAGUGAGAAUGGGGGGGGAAUGGGAAGGAGGUGAAUGGGGGGGGAAUGUGAAUGGGGGGGAGAGAGGGAGGGAAUGUGAAUGGGGGGGAGGGAAUUGUGAAUGGGAGGGAGGGGGAGGGGGGAAUUGUGGGUGGGGGGGAGGAAGGGGGGGGUGGAAUUGUGAAUGGGGGUGGUGGGAGAGGGAGGAAUCGUGAAUGGAAUGUGAGCGGGGAAGGAAAAAGUGAAUGGAGGGAGACGGGAACAGAAAGCAGUUCUGAAUGGAAUGGAAUGGAAUGGAAUGGGGUGGGGUGGGGGUGGGGAGGGGUGGGGGUCCUGGCAGCUCACAGAGGUGGGAGGGGGGGGUUGGAAAAGUCCUGGCAGCUCACAAAGGAAUGGGGGUGUUGGGAAGGAAAGGUCCUGAAAGGUCACAGAGCCACGGGGUGGGUGGGUGGGGUGGGAAAGGUCCUGGCUGGGCACAGAGCUAUGGGGUGGUUGGGUUGGGAUGGAAAGGUCCUGACAGGUCACAAAGGCAUUGGACUGUUGGGUUGGAAAGGUCCUGACAGAUCACAGAGAUGUGGAAUGAAUGGGUUGGGAUGGAAAGGUCCUAACAGAUCACAUAGAUGUGGGAUGAAUGAAUUGGGAUGGAAAGGUCCUUACAGAUCACAGAGCUAUGGGGUGGUUGGGUUGGGAUGGAAAGGUCCUGACAGAUCACAGAGCUACGGGGUGAUUGGUUUGGGUUGGGAAGGUCCUGACAGAUCACAAAUAUGUGGGAUGAAUGGGUAGGGAUGGAAAGGUCCUGACAGGUCACAAAGGCAUUGGACUGUUGGAUUGGGAUGGAAAGGUCCUUACAGAUCACAGAGAUGCGGGAUGAAUGAAUUGGGAUGGAAAGGUCCUUACAGAUCACAGACUAUGGGAUGGUUGGGUUGGAAAGGUCCUGGCAGGUCACAGAGAUGUGGGAUGAAUGGGUUGGGAUAGAAAGGGUCCUGACAGAUCACAGAGCUAUGGGGUGGUUGGGUUGGAUUAGAAAGGUCCUAACAGAUCACAAAGGCAUUGGACAGUUGGGUUGGGAUGGAAAGGUCCUUACAGAUCACAGAGCCAUUGGAUGGUUGGGUUGGGUUGGAAAGGUCCUAACAGGUCACAGAGAUGUGGGAUGGAUGGGUUGGGAUGGAAAGGUCCUGACAGAUCACAGAGAUG